rnacentral:lncRNA from 1 species
CGUUUAUGUGAUAUGGUGGCUUACUUAAAAUUAUUCUUAACUAUCUUUUUAAAUCGGUAAACAUAAUAAUUUUCUGUUGCUCAAUAAAUAAUGUUUAUCAAUUUAGAAUUUUUUAAAGGACAAAUUUAAAAAGAUUGUUAACCGAAACUCGAGAUUUGAUAUUUUAUCUCUUUAUUUACGAGAAAAUUCGAACUUUUUGGAUCGAGCUGAUUCCAGCCAAUAACUCUAGUUGUGGAUGGUAUUUUUUUUUUUACGCUCCUUUCUAAUCAGUGAGAUUAAUAAUGAGCGGGGCCAAUUCCAAUCACACACUGAAUCCACUUCCGUGGAGAGGAUCGCCAGCUAGGCUCGGAAUUCCAAAAUUUUCAGGAAAUGCCGGAGACGGGAUGCGAACCCGGACACACGUUACCAACACGUUACCACUCAGCCAUCCGGCUUGUGGAUGAUAUAGUAAAUAUUAGUUACGUAAAUAUUACAGUUAACUGGAACUGUAAUAUUUACGUAAGUAAUAUUAUUAUUGGUACAAUGUUUAUAUUUGAAACUCACAUUCUGAAGUUCAAAUAUUUAUUAUAUUUUUAAUUUCAUCCAUUGUAUUGUUAACAGAUGACGCUACUUUCCAUUCUGGGAGAAUACUAAGUGGCGGGGCGAAACAAGCCCUUCUACAGGCUGCCCACCUCUGCGGAAGGCCAGCCGGAUUGU